AUAGCCUACUGAGAUCAGAGAUAGUUUCCUGCACUGAAAUUAAAGAAUGCAGAAAUUUCAGAUUGUCUUGUAUGUGAGCCCAUCCCAUAUCAGUGUAGUGGGUGGUACAUUGUAUUAUCAUAAACAAGAAUUUUCUAGCAUGACAAGAUACUACAGAGAAUAUAUAUUGUCACGUUCAAAUGUCUGGUAGAGGAGCAAUCAUACUGGUGAUGAUUAAAAGUGCGUAGAGGUAGAGCACAUGCCACGAUGUUAAUGGGGAAAAAUGUUGCUCGAUGGCAAGCCCUUUGUAUUGGAAAUUUAGGCAGCCAGUCAUAUUUUCUCUUUUUAUUUUUUGGCAUGCUUCGUUGCAGGCAUACGGCAGCAUUCCCCUCAGUUACUUCCUUCGAAAUGUUGAAGCUAAGCUAACUGCAAUUACGUAGAAUCUGCAUAAAUAAAAUAUUGCAGAAUUGUAGAAUUCAUUGCUUUCAUGAAACAUGAUUUCCAUUCUUCUGCUGCCGUGAAAAUGGAAGACUUUGCGAACCACGCGCUAAUUCUUCCUUUGUUCUUUUACUCGGAACAGACUGUAGCAAUCGAGGGGAGUUGGCACGCUUCUGUUGUUGCUGAUUGACAAAAUUAGACGAAGUUAUUGCAGGUUCAACUUCAGUAUCCUCAGGAGUACAUUCUUUAGGCAAUCCAUCUUCUGGCACGACGUCACUUGUUCCAGGAUUGACAAUGUCCCAUAGAAAUCCAUUCUCAUUCCCAAGGGAAAGCUUAUCGAAAUCAUGGUCUACAGCUCCAGAAUGAGGUGCGACAUAUGCAACAUAUUUUUCUGCCAAGCUGUGAAGGGCAUUCUCAGCAGCUUGCUGAUGUGCAUCCUUCCUGGUCUUACCCAUUCCAACACCAAUCUUUUCACCAGUGAACAAAACCUCAACAGAAAAUUG
rnacentral:misc_RNA from 1 species